rnacentral:rRNA from 1 species
GGUUUGAUCAUGGCUCAGAUUGAACGCUGGCGGGAUGCUUUACACAUGUGCAAGUCGAACGGCAGCACGGACUUCGGUCUGGUGGGCGAGUGGCGAACGGGUGAGUAAUGUAUCGGAACGUGCCUAGUAGCGGGGGAUAACUACGCGAAAGCGUAGCCAAUACCGCAUACGCCCCUUCGGGGGAAAGCGGGGGGACCUUCGGGCCUCGCACUAUUAGAGCGCGGCUGAUAUCGGAUUAGCUAGCUGGUGGGGUAACGGUCACUGUUGCGACGAUCCGUAGCUGGUUUGAGAGGACGACCAGCCACACUGGGACUGAGACACGGCCUAGACUCCUACGGGAGGCAGCAGUGGGGAAUUUUGGACAAUGGGGGAAACCUGAUCCAGCCACUCCGCGUGUGCGAUGAAGGCCUUCGUUGUAAAGCACUUUUGGCAGGAAAGAAUGCACGCGGAUAAUACCCUCGUGCAACUGACGGUACCUGCAGAAUAAGCACCGGCUAACCAUGUGCCAGCAGCCGCGGUAAUGUAGGUGCAAGCGUUAAUCGGAAUUACUGGGCGUAAAGUGCAGGCGGCCCGGAAAGAAAGAUGUGAAAUCCCGGAGCUUAACUUUGGAACUGCAUUUUUAACUACCGAGCUAGAGUGUGUCAGAGGGAGGUGGAAUUUCGGCAGUGAAAUGCGUAGAUAUGCGGAGGAACACCGAUGGCGAAGGCAGCCCGGGAUAACACUGACGCUCUGCGCACGAAAGCGUGGGGAGCAAACAGGAUUAGAUACCCUGGUAGUCCACGCCCUAAACGAUGUCAACUAGCUGUUGGGGCCUUCGGGCCUUGGUAGCGCAGCUAACUGCGUGAAGUUGACCGCCUGGGGAGUACGGUCGCGAUUUAAAACUAAAGGAAUUGACGGGGACUCGCACAAGCGGUGGAUGAUGUGGAUUUUCAAUUGAUGCAACGCCAAAAAACUCUUACCUACCCUUGACAUGUCUGAAUCCCGAAGAGAUUUGGGGGAGUGCUCGCAAGAGAACCGGAACACAGGUGCUGCAUGCCACGUCAGCUCGUGUCGUGAGAUGUUGCUAAGUCCUGCAACGAGCGCAAACUCCCCAAGUCAUUAGUUACUACGAAAGGAAAAUUUACGAGACUUGCCGGUGACAAACCGGAGGAAGGUGGGGAUGACGUCAUCCUCAUGGCCCUUAUGCGGCAGGGCUUCGCGUACGCUGGCACAAUGGUCGGGACAGAGGGUCGCCAACCCGCGAGGGGGAGCCAAUCCCAGAACCCGAUCGUAGUCCGGAUCGCAGUCUGCACUCGACUGCGUGAAGUCGGAAUCGCUAGUAAUCGCGGAUCGGCAUGUCGCGGUGAAUACGUUCCUGGUCUUGUACACACCCGUCCGUCACACCAUGGAGUGGGUUUACCAGAAGCGGCAGUUAGCCUAACCGUAUGAGGGCGAUUACCACGGCAGGAUUCAUGACUGGGUGAAGUCGUAACAAGGCAG